rnacentral:tRNA from 1 species
GGGCCCGUAGUCGAACNNCGACAAUGGUUAAGACGUCGCUCUUACACAGCGAAGACUCCCGGUUCGAUUCCGGGCGGGCCCA